AAAUUUUUUUUCCUCUAUAGUAUUGUACGGUACGUUCGUGUCGCCCGUGUUCUCGACGCCGUGUCGCAUCGCCGCGGCGUUACACGGCCCGGAAAACUAUCUUCCGUCAGUGGAGGGAUACUGCAACAUUACCGAGGAAACGGGUGUGACGCUCGUCGUACAGGCGACGAACGGUUAGGUUAGGUUAGGUUUUGAUCGGGCGGCGAUUUUUGCGAUAAGAGGAUUUUAAUUACGUUACAGGUUUCGGAUUCGAAUCGUGAUCUUAUCGGAAAAAACCGGCGCGGUAUUAGACAAUGCAUUUCCAUCGCGGAUAGCUCGCGCAGUCUUCCGAAUUAUUGUAUC